CACAAAUCCCUCCGUCACCCCUUCGUGCACCCCUGCCCCUUGACGGCACCCGUGUACAAGUCUCUGGGGCGCAAGCCAAACGAUGAGGGAACCCAAGGUUUUCGGCUCAGGACUGAUUAUCUUUCCAGACAUCUGCAGUAGCGAAGCCAUGCAGGCUUUGUAAAGGUCCACAUGAAGAGAAACCAAUGCCCCCAGCCCUCAGCACCAUCACAGAUUUCACAUGCAACCAGUCCCAGUUUGACAGCCUUGUAAGUGAGCCAACUUGGAAGAAGAUCCUCCAGCUCUACAUAGGACACUUCAGCCAGCUGUGUGGGGCAAGAAAAACUAUUAUUUUUUACUGUGCAUGAGAAAUCACCACAAACACUGGCUUAUAAUAAAAAUUAAUUGAUAUUCUGCUA